GAUGAACGCUGGCGGCGUGCCUAAUACAUGCAAGUCGAGCGAACGGACGAGAAGCUUGCUUCUCUGAUGUUAGCGGCGGACGGGUGAGUAACACGUGGAUAACUUACCUAUAAGACUGGGAUAACUUCGGGAAACCGGAGCUAAUACCGGAUAAUAUUUUGAACCGCAUGGUUCAAAAGUGAAAGACGGUCUUGCUGUCACUUAUAGAUGGAUCCGCGCUGCAUUAGCUAGUUGGUAAGGUAACGGCUUACCAAGGCAACGAUGCAUAGCCGACCUGAGAGGGUGAUCGGCCACACUGGAACUGAGACACGGUCCAGACUCCUACGGGAGGCAGCAGUAGGGAAUCUUCCGCAAUGGGCGAAAGCCUGACGGAGCAACGCCGCGUGAGUGAUGAAGGUCUUCGGAUCGUAAAACUCUGCUAUUAGGGAAGAACAUAUGUGUAAGUAACUGUGCACAUCUUGACGGUACCUAAUCAGAAAGCCACGGCUAACUACGUG
rnacentral:rRNA from 1 species